rnacentral:sRNA from 1 species
GUUUUGCUUCUUUUUUUC